GACGAACGCUGGCGGCGUGCUUAACACAUGCAAGUCGAACGGAAAGGCCCAGCUUGCUGGGUACUCGAGUGGCGAACGGGUGAGUAACACGUGGGUGAUCUGCCUUGCACUCUGGGAUAAGCCUGGGAAACUGGGUCUAAUACCGGAUAUGACCUCUGACUGCAUGGUUGGGGGUGGAAAGCUUUUGCGGUGUGAGAUGGGCCCGCGGCCUAUCAGCUUGUUGGUGAGGUAAUGGCUCACCAAGGCGACGACGGGUAGCCGACCUGAGAGGGUGAUCGGCCACACUGGGACUGAGACACGGCCCAGACUCCUACGGGAGGCAGCAGUGGGGAAUAUUGCACAAUGGGCGCAAGCCUGAUGCAGCGACGCCGCGUGGGGGAUGACGGCCUCGGUUGUAACGUACCUUCGUCCUACGGACGGAAGGACGCGAACGUAGACGGUACCGUACGGAGGAAGGAAGGACGACCGGACCCGAACCGUAACCGUUACGGCCGACGCCGACGCCGGCCGGGUAAAACGGUAGGUUAGGUGGUUACG
rnacentral:rRNA from 1 species